rnacentral:rRNA from 1 species
CGGGACGGGUGAGUAACGCGUGGGUAACCUGCCUUGUACUGGGGGACAACAGUUAGAAAUGACUGCUAAUACCGCAUAAGCGCACAGUAUCGCAUGAUACAGUGUGAAAAACUCCGGUGGUACAAGAUGGACCCGCGUCUGAUUAGCUAGUCGGUAAGGUAACGGCUUACCAAGGCGACGAUCAGUAGCCGACCUGAGAGGGUGACCGGCCACAUUGGGACUGAGACACGGCCCAA